UUGGAGGGCAAGUCUGGUGCCAGCAGCCGCGGUAAUUCCAGCUCCAAUAGCGUAUAUUAAAGUUGUUGCAGUUAAAAAGCUCGUAGUUGAAUUUCGGGGUUCUACCGUUGGUCGGGCAAUAGUCUGUACUGGCGUGUAGAAUUUCUACCUUCUGGGGAACUAUCAUGUUAUUUAUUUAGCGUGGUAGGAAACCAGGACCUUUACCUUGAAAAAAUUAGAGUGUUCAAAGCAGGCUUACGUCUGAAUACAUUAGCAUGGAAUAAUAAAAUAGGACGGUGGUCCUGUUUUGUUGGUUUCUGAAUCACCGUAACGAUUAAUAGGGAUAGUUGGGGGCAUUAGUAUUCAAUUGUCAGAGGUGAAAUUCUUGGAUUUAUUGAAGACUAACUUCUGCGAAAGCAUUUGCCAAGGAUGUUUUCAUUAAUCAAGAACGAAAGUUAGGGGAUCGAAGACGAUCAGAUACCGUCGUAGUCUUAACCAUAAACUAUGCCGACUAGGGAUCGGACGAUGUUAAUUUUUCUUGACUCGUUCGGCACCUUACGGGAAAC
rnacentral:rRNA from 1 species